rnacentral:rRNA from 1 species
AGUGAACGCUGGCGGUAGGCCUAACACAUGCAAGUCGAACGGCAGCACAGUAAGAGCUUGCUCUUACGGGUGGCGAGUGGCGGACGGGUGAGGAAUACAUCGGAAUCUACUUUUUCGUGGGGGAUAACGUAGGGAAACUUACGCUAAUACCGCAUACGACCUACGGGUGAAAGCAGGGGAUCUUCGGACCUUGCGCGAUUGAAUGAGCCGAUGUCGGAUUAGCUAGUUGGCGGGGUAAAGGCCCACCAAGGCGACGAUCCGUAGCUGGUCUGAGAGGAUGAUAGGCGACACUGGAACGGAGACACGGUCCAGACUCCUACGGGAGGCAGCAGUGGGGAAUAUUGGACAAUGGGCGCAAGCCUGAUCCAGCCAUACCGCGUGGGUGAAGAAGGCCUUCGGGUUGUAAAGCCCUUUUGUUGGGAAAGAAAAGCAGCAGGUUAAUACCCCGCUGUUCUGACGGUACCCAAAGAAUAAGCACCGGCUAACUUCGUG